rnacentral:rRNA from 1 species
GACGAACGCUGGCGGCGUGCUUAACACAUGCAAGUCGAACGGUGAAAGCGGAGCUUGCUCCGCUGGAUCAGUGGCGAACGGGUGAGUAACACGUGGGCAACCUGCCCCUCACUUCGGGAUAACUCCGGGAAACCGGGGCUAAUACCGGAUAUGACCUCCUUGGGCAUCCUUGGAGGUGGAAAGUUUUUCGGUGGGGGAUGGGCCCGCGGCCUAUCAGCUUGUUGGUGAGGUAGUGGCUCACCAAGGCGACGACGGGUAGCCGGCCUGAGAGGGCGACCGGCCACACUGGGACUGAGACACGGCCCAGACUCCUACGGGAGGCAGCAGUGGGGAAUAUUGCGCAAUGGGCGAAAGCCUGACGCAGCAACGCCGCGUGCGGGAUGACGGCCUUCGGGUUGUAAACCUCUUUCAGCACCGACGAAGCGCAAGUGACGGUAGGUGCAGAAGAAGGACCGGCCAACUACAUGCCAGCCGCCGCUGUAA